GUGCUCACUUCUGCAGCACGUAUACUAAAAUUGGAACGAUAUAGAGAAGAUUAGCAUGGCCCCUGUGCAAGGAUGACACGCAAAUUCGUGAACCGUUUCAUAUUAAA